UGGACGCUGGCGGCGUGCCUAAUACAUGCAAGUCGAGCGAACAGAUACGGAGCUUGCUCCUUUGACGUUAGCGGCGGACGGGUGAGUAACACGUGGGUAACCUACCUAUAAGACUGGGAUAACUUCGGGAAACCGGAGCUAAUACCGGAUAACAUUUGGAACCGCAUGGUUCUAAAGUGAAAGAUGGUUUUGCUAUCACUUAUAGAUGGACCCGCGCCGUAUUAGCUAGUUGGUAAGGUAACGGCUUACCAAGGCGACGAUACGUAGCCGACCUGAGAGGGUGAUCGGCCACACUGGAACUGAGACACGGUCCAGACUCCUACGGGAGGCAGCAGUAGGGAAUCUUCCGCAAUGGGCGAAAGCCUGACGGAGCAACGCCGCGUGAGUGAUGAAGGGGUUCGGCUCGUAAAACUCUGUUAUUAGGGAAGAACAAAUGUGUAAGUAACUGUGCACGUCUUGACGGUACCUAAUCAGAAAGCCACGGCUAACUACGUG
rnacentral:rRNA from 1 species